GUUACCUCUGGAAAUGGACAUCAGAUUAUAAACUCUCUCACGUAACAAUGGAACCCUCAGCAGGGAACAGUGAGGGGCACUUACCAGAUGGGUGCUACAACAAACUGUCUACCAUCACUGGAUGUUAAUAGGAUCCAUCCAUUGCACCCCCUAUUAAUAUCCACUGCCUCUGAAACAAAGAAUAGCCUUCCCGUGCACCACUAGGGCAGUUCCUUCAAUUCAUCAUUGCUACCAUCAUUUCCAAAUUCAUCUUAUU